ACUCUUUCCGUCAUCGCCCCACUGCUCGCCCUGCUUCAGGAUGCCUUCACCCCCAGCCUAGAAGACAGCGCUGUAGUCAGGGACUUAAAAGCUGCUGUAAAGAAUAACUUGGGGACAAGAUAUGAUGGACAAAAGGACACCUUGUAUGCAGCGUCCGCGCUGGAUCCUCGCUUUAAGGCCCUUCCAUUCCUGUCUGCUUCAGAACAAAAUGACACCUUCUCCAGGCUGCAGGCUGAGGCUGCCACUGCUGCACGUGAUCAAGAUGGUGGCAAUGAUACUGAUAAAGAAGCUGAGGAUACUUUGCCCAAGAAGCCAAAGAAAUCCAGCACCUUGGAGUCUCUCCUUGGGACAGUCUAUUCAACAACAGUAAAAGAUCAGGGACUGAAAACUCCAGCAAUAAGGGCUGAAGAUGAAGUUAGAAGAUACAAAGCUGAAAAUCCUGCUGGGCUGAAUGAAAAUCCUUUGAUCUGGUGGAAGUUAAACGAAAGGGAAUAUCCACUGUUGGCUCGCCUUGCAAGGCAUUAUCUUUGUGUCCCAGGGACCAGUAUUGCAUCAGAGAGGGUAUUUUCAACAGCUGGUGACAUUGUCACGGCAAAAAAGGAGCUGCCUAAGCACAGAUCAUGUAAAUGAACUUAUUUUUCUCCACAAGAAUCUCACAAUUAAUGAGAAGUGAAAAGAAAGAAUAAUUUGACUUAGCAGUUCAACUUAUUUUGUAUUUAUUUGCCAGUAUUUUUUGGCCCUUAAAAUAGAAAAUCCCUUGAUGCAAAUUGCAGUGUUUAGUUAAAAAGUAAAUACUUUUAUUUAUACAAAUUUGCACUUUUGAGACAGUUUUGUUUACAAGUCUGCACUUUGUUUGCACUUUGUUUAAUGUGAAGUGAAAAAAUAAAAUACAUGUGUAUUUCGCAACACAGUUGAGCCACUUUUAUUAUUGUAAGAGCAGAU